AUCCUGGCUCAGGAUGAAACGCUGGCGGCGUGCCUAACACAUGCAAGUCGAGCGAGAUUUAAGAGAGCUUGCUUUCUUAAAUCAAGCGGCGGACGGGUGAGUAACGCGUGGGUAACCUGCCCUAUACACAUGGAUAACAUACUGAAAAGUUUACUAAUACAUGAUGACAUAUAUCUUGGGCAUCCAAGAUAUAUCAAAGCGCUUAGCGGUAUAGGAUGGACCCGCGUCUGAUUAGCUAGUUGGUGAGAUAACUGCCCACCAAGGCGACGAUCAGUAGCCGACCUGAGAGGGUGAUCGGCCACAUUGGAACUGAGACACGGUCCAAACUCCUACGGGAGGCAGCAGUGGGGAAUAUUGCACAAUGGGCGCAAGCCUGAUGCAGCAACGCCGCGUGAACGAUGAAGGUCUUCGGAUCGUAAAGUUCUGUUGCAGGGGAAGAUAAUGACGGUACCCUGUGAGGAAGCCCCGGCUAACUACGUGCC
rnacentral:rRNA from 1 species